GCGCUUGCUUCGGCAGCACUUAUGCUUAAAUUAGAACGAUACAGAGAAGAUUAGCAUGAACCCUGUGCAAAGAUGACAUGUAAAUUCAUGAAGCAAUCUGUAUAUUU
ensembl:snRNA U6 U6 spliceosomal RNA